rnacentral:rRNA from 1 species
AGUGGCGAACGGCUGAGUAACACGUGGGCAACCUGCCCAAAAGAGGGGGAUAACACUUGGAAACAGGUGCUAAUACCGCAUAACCAUAGUUACCGCAUGGUAACUAUGUAAAAGGUGGCUAUGCUACCGCUUUUGGAUGGGCCCGCGGCGCAUUAGCUAGUUGGUGGGGUAAAGGCUUACCAAGGCAAUGAUGCGUAGCCGAACUGAGAGGUUGAUCGGCCACAUUGGGACUGAGACACGGCCCAAACUCCUACGGGAGGCAGCAGUAGGGAAUCUUCCACAAUGGGCGAAAGCCUGAUGGAGCAACGCCGCGUGGGUGAAGAAGGUCUUCGGAUCGUAAAACCCUGUUGUUAGAGAAGAAAGUGCGUGAGAGUAACUGUUCACGUUUCGACGGUAUCUAACCAGAAAGCCACGGCUAACUACGUGCCAGCAGCCGCGGUAAUACGUAGGUGGCAAGCGUUAUCCGGAUUUAUUGGGCGUAAAGGGAACGCAGGCGGUCUUUUAAGUCUGAUGUGAAAGCCUUCGGCUUAACCGGAGUAGUGCAUUGGAAACUGGGAGACUUGAGUGCAGAAGAGGAGAGUGGAACUCCAUGUGUAGCGGUGAAAUGCGUAGAUAUUUGGAAAACACCAGUGGCGAAAGCGGCUCUCUGGUCUGUAACUGACGCUGAGGUUCGAAAGCGUGGGUAGCAAACAGGAUUAGAUACCCUGGUA